AACGAGUUGAACUGUUGAACAAAAUUCUCUAAACAAUACAAAUGUGUGAACAGGAUAUAAACAGGGACCCCUGAAAUUCCAUAUAGGUGGGAUCAGGUGCUAAGGAGGAGUAAAAAUCCCCUGUUGAUAAAAAAAAUGCUUAUAAAUAAUGCCCGACUGCUGAUUUCAGAUUCCAGUUAUAACCACCCUACCAACCUCAUACGAAGUAGCAGAAACACAUACGUCCUCCACUCUUAUCCACACCCUGGGGGUAACAGAUGGGGACACCAUCUCUUGUACGGUGUCCAGUACGUCCCCUUCAGGAGGCCCCUUCACGACCAAAGAAAUCACAGCAGGAAGCGGAACAUAUGGCGUCUACAUUAACGCCAAUCCUUCGUUUGAUUUUGACACAACAAAACGUUUUGACGUUAACGUAAGAUGUACCGAUACCAAGAAUUAUGACGAGGAACAGCUGAUUGUUAUCAUAGAGAAGAAUGCAUUUCCUGUCUUCACCAAUCUACCAAGACACAUUGAGAAAGAUCAGCAGACGACAUCCAAUAACGUCGUCCUUGACACAGUUUCAGUGACCGACACGGAUGGUCUGACGUUUACAUAUACCUGCGAUCCCGCCUCUUGUCCUAUCGCUAUUG